rnacentral:rRNA from 1 species
AGAGUUUGAUCCUGGCUUAGGAUUAACGCUGGCGGCAUGCCUAAUACAUGCAAGUCGAACGGUCUAGCUUGCUAGACAGUGGCGAACGGGUGAGUAACACGUAGGUAAUCCACCCUUAGGACGAGGAUAGCUUACUGGAAACGGAAGGUAAAACUGGAUAGUAUAUAGGAAGGCAUCUUCUUAUAUUUAAAAGAGCAAUCGUACCUAAGGAAGAGCCUGCGGCGCAUUAGCCAGUUGGCGGGGUAAUGGCCCACCAAAGCGAUGAUGCGUAGCCGGACUGAGAGGUUGAACGGCCACAUUGGGACUGAGACACGGCCCAGACUCCUACGGGAGGCAGCAGUAGGGAAUUUUCGGCAAUGGGCGGAAGCCUGAACCCGAGCAAUGCCGCGUGAAUGAAGAAGUAUUUCGGUAUGUAAAGUUCUUUUAUUAGGGACGAAAAAACAAAUUGACGGUACCUAAUGAAUAAGCUCCGGCUAACUACGUGCCAGCAGCUGC